rnacentral:rRNA from 1 species
UACGAAGGGGGCUAGCGUUGUUCGGAAUUACUGGGCGUAAAGCGCACGUAGGCGGUUUUGUAAGUCAGGGGUGAAAUCCCGGGGCUCAACCUCGGAACUGCCUUUGAUACUGCAAGUCUCGAGUCCGAUAGAGGUGAGUGGAAUUCCUAGUGUAGAGGUGAAAUUCGUAGAUAUUAGGAAGAACACCAGUGGCGAAGGCGGCUCACUGGAUCGGUACUGACGCUGAGGUGCGAAAGCGUGGGGAGCAAACAGG